rnacentral:rRNA from 1 species
ACGGAAGGCAGCAGUAGGGAAUAUUGCACAAUGGGGGGAACCCUGGUGCAGCAACGCCACGUGUGGGAAGAAGCAUUUCGGUGUGUAAACCACUGUCGUGAGGGAAUAAAGCUGGAGUUGUCCAGUUGAAUGUACCUCGAAAGGAAGCACCGGCAAACUUCGUGCUAGCAGCCGCGGUAAUACGAGGGGUGCAAGCGUUGUUCGGAAUCACUGGGCGUAAAGGGAGCGCAGGCGGAAGUGCAAGCGGUCUGUACAAUACCGGGGCCCAACCCCGGACCUGCAGACCGGACUGCAUUUCUUGGAUAGUUCAGGGGCAAGCGGAAUUCCUGGUGUAGCGGUGGAAUGCGUAGAGAUCAGGAAGAACACCGAUGGCGAAGGCAGCUUGCUGGGGACUUAUCGACGCUCAUGCUCGAAAGUGCGGGUAGCAAACAGGAUUAGAUACCCUGGUA